ACAGAUGUUAGCUCAGGGCCAAUUUUUAAAAAAAAAAAGUGAAGACCCAAAGAGGCAGUUAGACCCCAGGGGCUUAUAUACCAUUUUAACAGUGGGUGAUAAAUUUGUGGAGAAGUGACAAGAC